rnacentral:rRNA from 1 species
UAAAGCACUUUCAGCGGGGAGGAAGGCGGUGAGGUUAAUAACCUCAUCGAUUGACGUUACCCGCAGAAGAAGCACCGGCUAACUCCGUGCCAGCAGCCGCGGUAAUACGGAGGGUGCAAGCGUUAAUCGGAAUUACUGGGCGUAAAGCGCACGCAGGCGGUCUGUCAAGUCGGAUGUGAAAUCCCCGGGCUCAACCUGGGAACUGCAUUCGAAACUGGCAGGCUAGAGUCUUGUAGAGGGGGGUAGAAUUCCAGGUGUAGCGGUGAAAUGCGUAGAGAUCUGGAGGAAUACCGGUGGCGAAGGCGGCCCCCUGGACAAAGACUGACGCUCAGGUGCGAAA